AGUGAACGCUGGCGGUAGGCCUAACACAUGCAAGUCGAACGGCAGCACAGUAAGAGCUUGCUCUUACGGGUGGCGAGUGGCGGACGGGUGAGGAAUACAUCGGAAUCUACUUUUUCGUGGGGGAUAACGUAGGGAAACUUACGCUAAUACCGCAUACGACCUACGGGUGAAAGCAGGGGAUCUUCGGACCUUGCGCGAUUGAAUGAGCCGAUGUCGGAUUAGCUAGUUGGCGGGGUAAAGGCCCACCAAGGCGACGAUCCGUAGCUGGUCUGAGAGGAUGAUCAGCCACACAGGAACUGAGACACGGUCCAGCCUCCAACGGGAGGCAGCAGUGGGGAAUAUUGGACAAUGGGCGCAAGCCUCUUCCAGCCAUACCGCGUGGGUGAAGAAGGCCUUCGGGUUGUAAAGCCCUUUUGUUGGGAAAGAAAAGCAGCAGGUUAAUACCCCGCUGUUCCGACGGUACCCAAAGAAUAAGCACCGGCUAACUUCGU
rnacentral:rRNA from 1 species